rnacentral:lncRNA from 1 species
AACAAUCUUUUCUUUUAAAUUGAUAAGAUGUAACUUUGAUCAUAAAAUUUAUAUUAACUAAUUCCAGUUGAUCUCGAUAAUCUUUUUAGGUGAAGAGGAUGAUAAGAGGAGGUUGUGGUGGAGGACGAUGAAUUAUGUAUGCCAUUUGAAGAAAAAAAAGAAACAAGAUAUAUUCUGUUUUGAGAAUGGAGAAAUUUGGGACCAAGGUUAUGUCACCGAGAAGAAUUCUGAGAAAAAAAAAAAAAA